rnacentral:rRNA from 1 species
UACGUAGGGCGCAAGCGUUGUCCGGAAUUAUUGGGCGUAAAGCGCUCGUAGGCGGCCUGUUACGUCUGCUGUGAAAUCCCGGGGCUUAACCCCGGGCGUGCAGUGGAUACGGGCAGGCUGGAGGCAGGCAGAGGAGAACGGAAUUCUCGGUGUAGCAGUGAAAUGCGUAGAUAUCGAGAGGAAUACCAAAGGCGAAGGCAGGUCACUGGGCAGUUACUGACACUGAGGCACGAAGGCUAGGGGAGCAAACGGG